rnacentral:rRNA from 1 species
CACGGCUUUUGGUAGUCAUAGUACUUUUCGAAUCGCAUGACUUUACGUCGGCGAUGGUUCAUUCAAAUUUCUGCCCUAUCAAGUUUCGAUGGUAGGAUAGAGGCCUACCAUGCUUUUUACGGGUAACGGCGAAUUAGGGUUCGAUUCCGGAGAGGGAGCCUGAGAAACGGCUACCACAUCUAAGGAAGGCAGCAGGCGCGCAAAUUACCCAAUCCUGAUUCAGGGAGGUAGUGACAAUAAAUAACAAUUCCAGGACUUCGGUCUUGGAAAUUGGAAUGAGAACCAAUUUUAAAUCUCUUAUCGAGGAAACCAAUUUGGAGGGCAAAGUCUUGG